rnacentral:misc_RNA from 1 species
GAUGAAGAACGUCGCGAAAUGCGAUAAGUAGUGUGAAUUGCAGAAUUCAGUGAAUCAUCGAAUCUUUGAACGCACAUUGCGCCCCAUGGUAUUCCGUGGGGCAUGCCUGUUCGAGCGUCAUUUACCCCCUCAAGCUCCGCUUGGUGUUGGGCGUCUGUCCCGCUUCGCGCGCGGACUCGCCCCAAAGGUAUUGGCAGCGGUCGUGCCAGCUUCUCGCGCAGCACAUUGCGCUUCUCGAGGCACCGGUGGGCCCGCGUCCAUCAAGCUCACCCCCCCAGUUUGACCUCGGAUCAGGUAGGGAUACCCGCUGAACUUAAGCAUAUCAAUAAGCGGAGGA